GCCGGGCGAGGUGGCGGGCGCCUGUAGUCCCAGCUACUCCGGAGGCUGAGGCAGGAGAAUGGCGUGAACCCGGGAGGCGGAGCUUGCAGUGAGCUGAGAUCCGGCCACUGCACUCCAGCCCGGGUGACAGAGCAAGACGACUCCGUCUCAAAAAAAAAAAAAAAAAAAAAAAAAAGAGAGAGAUAGAGUCUCGCUCUGUUGCCAGGCUGGAGUGCAAUUGCUCACUGCAACCUCUGCCUCCCGGGUUCAAGCGAUUCUCCUGCCUCAG
rnacentral:sRNA from 1 species